AUUGAACGCUGGCGGCAGGCCUAACACAUGCAAGUCGAACGGUAACAGGAAGCAGCUUGCUGCUUCGCUGACGAGUGGCGGACGGGUGAGUAAUGUCUGGGAAACUGCCUGAUGGAGGGGGAUAACUACUGGAAACGGUAGCUAAUACCGCAUAACGUCGCAAGACCAAAGAGGGGGACCUUAGGGCCUCUUGCCAUCGGAUGUGCCCAGAUGGGAUUAGCUAGUAGGUGGGGUAACGGCUCACCUAGGCGGCGAUCCCUAGCUGGUCUGAGAGGAUGACCCGCCACACUUGAACUGAGACCCGGUCCCGACUCCUACGGGAGGCAGCAGUGGGGAAUAUUGCACAAUGGGCGCAAGCCUGAUGCAGCCAUGCCGCGUGUAUGAAGAAGGCCUUCGGGUUGUAAAGUACUUUCAGCGGGGAGGAAGGGAGUAAAGUUAAUACCUUUGCUCAUUGACGUUACCCGCAGAAGAAGCGCCGGCUAACUCCGUG
rnacentral:rRNA from 1 species